ensembl:lncRNA
GAGGGGAGGAGGAAGGAGAGGCGUGAGGAGGGAGGAAGGCUCGGAGCUGGGCGUUGCUCUGGCAACGUCGCGGCCUUCGCCCCGUCACGGCCCGUGAGGAGGUAGCUGAAAACACUGGCUGCAUCUCUGUGUCUCUUGGAGGUCACUUGCUGAUUUAUCUCCAAUUCGCAGCUCAUUAGAAGCUGAAAGUUAUUAUGUAAAACGGGUAAAUUGGAGUCUUUAAAGGAGCUGCCAACUUAAAUUUGCCUGAGUUUCUUCAGCAGUGGAGAGGAGAGGAAGAAUUCCAGACACGUCAUCCUGAUUUCACAAGUCUGCAGAGAUCUCCAGAGUGGACUUACCCAUCUGUGUGAGCUGCCAAAAGGUGAAGACAACCACUUUAUCUGCAAGAGAAUAUUCAUUUAUGGGACUUCCCUGGUGACAUAGGUUUGAAAUGGGAAAAUGAGCUUAAAGUCUUCUUCAAGAGAGAUUUACUCACAGUUUUCUCCAGUGUGAUUGCUUUGAGUCUGUAAGGUCAUCAUGGUUGAAGGCAUGAAGAUGAGGACAUCAAAGCCUUUGCCCACUUAUGACAAUUACUCUGGAGACAAACACAGCCCAGAAGACAAAUGUUAUGAGCUACCUGUAAGUUCUGGUUCACAAAACAGAUGAGAAUCCAGAGAUACUUCUGAACUUGGAAAUGAAAUUUAUUCUCAAGGACAUGUCCUUAUAGGGAUAUUUGGAUUCUGGUAACUCGAGGUUGUUUUCUGAGAAAACACACAUUGAGAGGCUUUAUUUCCCGGAGAGUACCACGGGCAAGCAGUGUCUCAGAAUUCACCAGCCAUGGAUGUGAUUGUUCUCCAUUGUCUUGCUGUUCUCAGGUCCUGUGCAUGGAACUGGGAAAGCUUCAAGGUUGAAUUCAAAAUUCCUCAGUUGAUAUCUUAGGUUUCUUCCCUCAUUUGUAGAUAUUUUAUCAGCUCCUUAUCCUGCGUUUAGGUUUACUGACAAAUGAUGUUCUGCACUUGUGCUGGGAUCCUACAGAAGGGUUUAUUGGGAUGAAUGUGCCAGGACUGAUGAACCAGAUCCCAAAAUGCAUUAUGUACAGAAGUGGGCUGAGGUCCUCAAACCUGGGAGGUGCAGCCACGCCAAAGCCAGUGCCAGACACUAAUCCUCUCCUCCAGACACUGAGCUGUGCUGUUUGAGGGAAAAGAAAUGGGGAAAUGAUCCUGGAAUCAAUUCAGACUUGCAAGAACCAUUAUCCUGGAUAUCCAAAUCUACCCAACCCUUUUUACCAAAUGAUUUUUUCCUCUUAGUGCUACAGCCAUACCAACUCUCACGUGCUUAAUGCUGCUUUCCCCAUGUCCUUCAUCCCCUUGGAGAUGAAGAACCUCUCCCGCAGGGACACCACGGUGCCGCUGGGACUCCCAAGGGGCUCGGGCUGGCCCUGGGCACCCAGGAAUGCUCCUCGCAGCCCUGGGCUGCAGCCAGCCCAGGGAAAACCAUCUGUUCCCUUUGGAAAGGGGUUUGCUUCCCCCCGGAGCCCUCCCCCCGCAUCCCGGCUCCGGCCCCAGCUGCCGUGUUUCGAUGAGCACUGAGGGAAUGAAUCUCCUGCGUUUAAAAAUACUCUGCUUCUAUUUAGAUGAAAAGAAGAAUCUUGCUUGCCUACACUGGCAUACAAAAAUAGGCUCAGUGUGAGUAAAUCUUCAAAGUUUCUCUUGGUGAAUAUAUCUAGCCUCACUUUUUUUUUUUUUUAACUUAUAUGAUAAGUUUAUUUAUAGAGUGUCCUUCUUUCCUCCUACUCUAUCAAGACAUUUGCAGAAGGUUGUCGCUCGUCUUGUUCAGGAGUCCUGAAAUAAUUUGCAGUGCCUUUGAAACAUCAUCGUGUUGCAUAGUUGUGAUCAACGUGCUGCUGUUGCAUGAACAUAUCAUAUUUUAAUGUGAAUGUCAGGUUAGCUGAGACAUUCAGGGCUUUCUUUGACUUUAGCUGCUUUACACUGGUUUGUGUUUUCGCUUGAACACUGCAGUAAAAAUUCUGCAUAUAGUAAUUUAAAAUUUUCCAUUUUACAUGCAAGGCAUUGCCUAGAAAAUUAAUGUGUAAUAUGAGAGGAUUAGUAAGAUGUAUACACUUUCCAAACAUCUCUUAAAAAUAGCUUUCACUGUCACUGUAGCAUCUUAAUUCUGAAUAAUCUCACAGUCCUUCUGCAAAUCUGUGCAUGUAGUAACAGAGAAGCCACCUACUUCAUCCUCUUGAACUGCACAAUAUGGAUCUGGGCAUGGAAAAAAAUGGGUUUUGGAGUAGGGCUCUGCUUUGGCAGAGAGGCUGUCUGUGGAACUACUGAGAGCAUUAACGCUUGCAUUAAAUAUUAAAAUCAG